UCCCUGGUGGCUCAGACAGUAAAGCGUCUGCCUACAACGCUGGAGACACAGGUUCAAUUCCUGGGUCGGGAA
rfam:Ovis aries breed Texel chromosome 4, whole genome shotgun sequence.